AGACUUCCUAGAAGCUUCUCUCCCUGAAAUCAAAAUCAAAAUAACCAUGAAUAUGUUCCUUAGGUCACAAAUGAUUGCUGAGCCACAAGAAGGGAAUAUUCUUAUGCCGAAAGAGGAAUGGUGUAAUACUACACUAAUAGGAAUAACAGAAUUUUAGGCUGAUGCUAUUCAACAUCCUCAAUUGACAACAUUUAUAAUCAACAUGUAAAGAAUAAACUAAAUAAAUAUUUAAGAAUAAUAUAUUUCAAUCAAGAAGUAAAUCGAAAGAUAUGGGAUCAGCUUCAAGCACGGAAGUCUGAUAAAAAAUAAUAAGACUUGCUAGCAAUCAGCAGCGUUUAUGUAAACCAAACUUAAAUGAAAAGAUUAAUCAAUUGUAGCAUGUCUUAUAAGUUCUAGCCAUAAGUGAAACUGAGCUGAAAAAAUUUCAAAAGAACAAACUGAGUUAACAUAUCUGUAAAUCAGUUGAUUAAUAAUACACCAAGAUCUAUAGUAUUCAAGACAAUCAUCUGAUAGGAAACUGAUGACAAAAAACAGAAUCAAGCUUCUAACAAAUUUCAACAAAAAAUAUAAAAGAGAACUUUAAAUGCCAUUUCAAAGAGCUGAGCUAACACCACUGAAGUGCAUAAUAUUAGGUAAGAAAAUCUAAGUGAAAUGGGAGAUAUAGGACGUCACUUUAG
rnacentral:misc_RNA from 1 species